GACGAACGCUGGCGGCGUGCUUAACACAUGCAAGUCGAACGAUGAAGCCGGAGCUUGCUCUGGUGAAUUAGUGGCGAACGGGUGAGUAACACGUGAGUAACCUGCCCUUGACUCUGGGAUAACUGCGGGAAACUGUAGCUAAUACCGGAUACGACCCUCGGAGGCAUCUCCUGGGGGUGGAAAGAAUUUCGGUCAAGGAUGGACUCGCGGCCUAUCAGCUAGUUGGUGAGGUAAAGGCUCACCAAGGCGACGACGGGUAGCCGGCCUGAGAGGGUGACCGGGCACACUGGGACUGAGACACGGCCCAGACUCCUACGGGAGGCAGCAGUGGGGAAUAUUGCACGAUGGGCGAAAGCCUGAUGCAGCAACGCCGCGUGAGGGAUGACGGCCUUCGGGUUGUAAACCUCUUUUAGCAGGGAAGAAGCGAAAGUGACGGUACCUGCAGAAAAAGCACCGGCUAACUACGUGCCAGCCGCCGCGGUAA
rnacentral:rRNA from 1 species